UACAGAGGUCUCAAGCGUUGUUCGGAUUCAUUGGGCGUAAAGGGUGCGUAGGCGGCGCGGUAAGUCGGGUGUGAAUCUCGGAGCUUAACUCCGAAACUGCAUUCGAUACUGCCGUGCUUGAGGACUGGAGAGGAGACUGGAAUUUACGGUGUAGCGGUGAAAUGCGUAGAUAUCGUAAGGAAGACCAGUGGCGAAGGCGGGUCUCUGGACAGUUCCUGACGCUGAGGCACGAAGGUCAGGGAGCAAACGGG
rnacentral:rRNA from 1 species